CAAUAUGAAGGUCAGGCUGAAGACCUUACCCGAUUAGCUGAGAGGUGGUGCAUGGCCGUCGUCAGUUCGUACUGUGAAGCAUCCUGUUAAGUCAGGCAACGAGCGAGACCCACGUCCACAGUUGCCAGCAUACCCUCCGGGGUGAUGGGUACACUGUGGAGACCGCCGCUGCUAAAGCGGAGGAAGGAGUGGGCAACGGUAGGUCAGUAUGCCCCGAAUCUCCCGGGCUACACGCGGGCUACAAUGGUUGGUACAAUGGGCAUCUACCCCGAAAGGGGAAGGAAAUCUCUUAAAGCCAAUCGUAGUUCGGAUUGAGGGCUGCAACUCGCCCUCAUGAAGCUGGAAUCCGUAGUAAUCGCGUUUCAACAGAACGCGGUGAAUACGUCCCUGCUCCUC
rnacentral:rRNA from 1 species